rnacentral:rRNA from 1 species
AUUGAACGCUGGCGGCAGGCCUAACACAUGCAAGUCGAACGAGUGGCGGACGGGUGAGUAAUGUCUGGGAAACUGCCCGAAGGAGGGGGAUAACUACUGGAAACGGUAGCUAAUACCGCAUACCAUCGGAUGUGCCCAGAUGGGAUUAGCUAGUAGGUGGGGUAACGGCUCCCCUAGGCGACGAUCCCUAGCUGGUCUGAGAGGAUGACCAGCCACACUGGAACUGAGAGACGGUCCAGACUCCUACGGCAGGCAGCAGUGGGGAAUUUUGCACAAUGGGCGCGAGCCUGAUGCAGCCAUGCCGCGUGUAUGAAGAAGGCCUUCGGGUUGUAAAGUGCUUGCAGCGCGGAGGCGUUACUCGCAGAAGAAGCGCCGGCUAACUCCGUGCCAGCAGCCGCGGUAAUAC